rnacentral:rRNA from 1 species
CCCUUCGAUGUUCUGGGCCGCACGCGCGCUACACUGUUCGACGCAGCGAGUCUUAACCUUGACCGAAAGGUUUGGGUAAUCUUCAGCAAAGUCGAACGUGAUGGGGAUCGAUCAUUGCAAUUAUUGAUCGUGAACGAGGAAUUCCUAGUAAGUGCAAGUCAUCAGCUUGCGCUGAUUACGUCCCUGCCCUUUGUACACACCGCCCGUCGCUACUACCGAUUGAAUGGUUUAGUGAGAUCUCUGGAUUGACGCUGGCUAGGGGGCGACCCUUGGCCAGACUGUUGAGAAACUGCUCAAACUUGAUCAUUUAGAGGAAGUAAAAGUCGUAACA